CACGAGCGGCGAACGGGUGAGUAACACGUGGGUGAUCUGCCCUGCACUCUGGGAUAAGCUUGGGAAACUGGGUCUAAUACCGGAUAUGACUGCAUGCCGCAUGGUGUGUGGUGGAAAGAUUUAUCGGUGCAGGAUGGGCCCGCGGCCUAUCAGCUUGUUGGUGGGGUAAUGGCCUACCAAGGCGACGACGGGUAGCCGACCUGAGAGGGUGACCGGCCACACUGGGACUGAGACACGGCCCAGACUCCUACGGGAGGCAGCAGUGGGGAAUAUUGCACAAUGGGCGGAAGCCUGAUGCAGCGACGCCGCGUGAGGGAUGAAGGCCUUCGGGUUGUAAACCUCUUUCAGCAGGGACGAAGCGUGAGUGACGGUACCUGCAGAAGAAGCACCGGCUAACUACGUGCCAGCAGCCGCGGUAAUACGUAGGGUGCGAGCGUUGUCCGGAAUUACUGGGCGUAAAGAGUUCGUAGGCGGUUUGUCGCGUCGUUUGUGAAAACCCGGGGCUCAACUUCGGGCUUGCAGGCGAUACGGGCAGACUUGAGUGUUUCAGGGGAGACUGGAAUUCCUGGUGUAGCGGUGAAAUGCGCAGAUAUCAGGAG
rnacentral:rRNA from 1 species